AGGCCCGGGCGCGCGGGGCGGGGACCCGAGACCCACCUGGGGCGCCCCCCGGCGCCACCAGGCUCCGCGUCUUGGGUCUCGACACGUUUUUAGUCCAUCAUCCCGUCCGAGGCACUCCCUAAAAGAAGGAGAGGAAACUCGACCUCUGUUGCCUCGCAGGCAUCCAGGCCAGCCCCAGCCAGUGGAAUCCUGGUUGCACACCCGUGGGGCAAAACCCGAAGAGGAGCUGCCCGAAUGGGCCCCUAGAAGUGGCACAGAAAAUAACGCUGCAUCUUACAACUGCUGGUGUCCUUGAUGUGAUGAAGAAUGAAUACUUACUACCCCCAGUGAGCAAAGCAUGGAGCACCUUAAUGAGGGGCAGGUGGCCAUCGUUCACACUCACUGUUAUCAGCUAAUUAUGAUUAUGGCAUGAG
rnacentral:lncRNA from 13 species